rnacentral:rRNA from 1 species
UACGAAGGGGGCGAGCGUUGUUCGGAUUUACUGGGCGUAAAGAGCUCGUAGGCGGUUUGUCGCGUUGUUCGUGAAAUUCCCUGGCUUAACUGGGGGCGUGCGGGCGAUACGGGCAGACUGGAGUACUGCAGGGGAGACUGGAAUUCCUGGUGUAGCGGUGGAAUGCGCAGAUAUCAGGAGGAACACCGGUGGCGAAGGCGGGUCUCUGGGCAGUAACUGACGCUGAGGAGCGAAAGCGUGGGGAGCGAACAGG